UGCUCCCUGAUGUUAGCGGCGGACGGGUGAGUAACACGUGGGUAACCUGCCUGUAAGACUGGGAUAACUCCGGGAAACCGGGGCUAAUACCGGAUGCUUGUUUGAACCGCAUGGUUCAAACAUAAAAGGUGGCUUCGGCUACCACUUACAGAUGGACCCGCGGCGCAUUAGCUAGUUGGUGAGGUAAUGGCUCACCAAGGCAACGAUGCGUAGCCGACCUGAGAGGGUGAUCGGCCACACUGGGACUGAGACACGGCCCAGACUCCUACGGGAGGCAGCAGUAGGGAAUCUUCCGCAAUGGACGAAAGUCUGACGGAGCAACGCCGCGUGAGUGAUGAAGGUUUUCGGAUCGUAAAGCUCUGUUGUUAGGGAAGAACAAGUGCCGUUCAAAUAGGGCGGCACCUUGACGGUACCUAACCAGAAAGCCACGGCUAACUACGUGCCAGCAGCCGCGGUAAUACGUAGGUGGCAAGCGUUGUCCGGAAUUAUUGGGCGUAAAGGGCUCGCAGGCGGUUUCUUAAGUCUGAUGUGAAAGCCCCCGGCUCAACCGGGGAGGGUCAUUGGAAACUGGGGAACUUGAGUGCAGAAGAGGAGAGUGGAA
rnacentral:rRNA from 1 species